UACGUAGGGUGCAAGCGUUAAUCGGAAUUACUGGGCGUAAAGCGUGCGCAGGCGGUUAUGCAAGACAGAUGUGAAAUCCCCGGGCUCAACCUGGGAACUGCAUUUGUGACUGCAUGGCUAGAGUGCGGCAGAGGGGGAUGGAAUUCCGCGUGUAGCAGUGAAAUGCGUAGAUAUGCGGAGGAACACCGAUGGCGAAGGCAAGCCCCUGGGCCUGCACUGACGCUCAUGCACGAAAGCGUGGGGAGCAAACAGG
rnacentral:rRNA from 1 species